rnacentral:lncRNA from 1 species
UUAUUUUGCACUUAAAUAGUGGAAUUGAUGUGCAGGACUCCUCUGCAGCUCCUGAAUCGGUUUGGUCUGUCCAGAACAGGUCUGUAUCAGCAACAGCAAUUUUGGCCACCUUCUCCAUCAUUUUCAAAGACAUGCAGUAGCUUCCAUAGUCAAUAUCUUCCCACGGCAAAAGUAAGCAAUCUUCCACCUUUCAAAACAUUUAUUGUAAUACAAAGGGUUUUUAUUCUAGCUUCAUCACAACUCUACUUCUUAUCCUCAUGCCCCCACUAAUUCUGUUCAUUAUUAUGAUUUCUGGCAACGUGCCCAUUAGAUCUCAUCCUCUGCUACACCCAGCAAGUUUGCAGAACAUUUCUGAGCCAAACUGAAGACUCUGGAAUCUUAAGAGUUCAUCAGCCCAGGUGUAACUCCAUCUAAUUUUUCUCCCUCUUUAUCAGAGAUGCAGUUUGAACAAACAGCCAAACAUGGUGAUUUUUUCAGAACAUUGCUCAAAUUACUGAUGUCUUUAUUCCAAUUCCUUCUUAGAUAGGAAGGAAUUAUCUGAUUAGUUUCAUUAAAAUCUGAUUAGUUUCAUCAACAAAAGCUUCUGUCCUUUAGCAUCUGUCCUUGCUCACAUCCACAGAUGUGGGAAAAUGAAAAAAAAAAGAAAAAGAAAAAGAAAAAGAAAAAGAAAAAUCCCAAUAAUUCAAAGCUCUUAAUUAAGGGAAGAAAAAAGCAUACAGUAAAAGUUAAAAAGGGAAGAGCAAAAGAAAUGGCUGAACUGGGAAACAUAUGUUCAUUCUGAGGAGACGCUCAGGCUGAUGCCAACAGCACACCAACUGCUCCCAUGCUUGUCGCAGCACCAUUUGACUCAGUUCCAGAUAAACUUGAAGAACAGAUAUAAAAUCUCUUGGAUGUUUUAAAACCAGAAUCCUUACACUUCUGGCAACCUUAAGAGUUUAGGCCACUAAGAAUAGCUAUAUGAGUUUGAAAUUAUAAGUUUAAUCCAGAAAACCUAUGUAUACUUAAAGCUAAGGCUAGAAUUUAGCUAAAAGCAUGACUCUGUUGCAAAAACUGUAGGGUUUUAUACGUAUAUCUUUGAUUAUCUUGCUAAACCUAUCUCUGAAGAGAUCACAUCUUCUCAUCUGAACUGGCAAGGAUAAUGCUGUGGAAAAAAAACACUAUCUAUGCGGUUGCUCAGCUUUCCAGUAGGACAAACUAAUGGUCACAAACACGCUGGACACCACUUGUGUUUAUUUGGUACCUCUAAAACAAUCUGCCUACGUGGCACUGAAUAAGGAGGUCUCCUUAGGAGGUGACUGAUAGCUGUCAGAAAUGUGCUGUGCUUUGCAUACGUGGUCAAACUCAUCACCAAAGCCCCCAGUUGACUAGAAUCACCACAGGUACCUUCCCAGCAGCACAGCCAGGUGACAACCAGGACCAACGCUGCAUGCUACGCAGCAGGGCAGCCAACAACUCCAGCUGACAGAGCACCAAGAAUUAAAAGGCGCCCACUGAAACCUUCAAAAAGAUGGCUUUAUAAUGACUGAAGUUAUCUAAAAGCCAGCUGCUCCAGCUUUUCUAGCAGGCCUUAAUAUGUCACUACACUCAAUAAACCAUAAAAACUAAUUCUUUCAACUUUCAUUCUUUGGCAUCCAUCCAUGCAUCCUCAGCUGCUUGUGCUAUUUUAUCUCAACUAAGGAGGCUGUGGCACAGCAGAACUGUUAACCGAGGAUAAUUGUGGGUAGUGGACAGGCAGGGAGGCAAAUAUAAAAACUGCAAUGGCUUUGGCAGCACAGGGCAGGGAUGUGAGCAACGGUGCUGGCUCAGCCAGCCAGAUUUUCCAGGCUACAAGUGAUCACAGGAUUUCACAGGUUGUAAGGGACCUACAGCAAUCACUGAGCCCAACCCACGGCUCCACACAGUACAACCUCAAAUCAAACCCUAUGUUUGAGAGCAAUGUCCAAACACCUCUUGAGCUCCAGCAGCUUGGGGCCAUGCCCACUGCCCCAGAGAGCCUGUUUCAUCCUUUGCUGGAGGAGCAGCCCAAAGAAAGCACCUGCUUUCUGGCUGUUAUUUUCUCUUGGCUCUCCUUAUAUAGCUGUCUUGCCAGAUUUUACCCUUUUUCCCCUCUGCUCCUCAGUUCUGGCAACACCAUCCCCACAACGCUUCUCGCUGUUUAUCUUCCUUUUUCACCUCUCACCUGACUCUCCCACCCUAGCAGCUGUACCACCCAUGUCCUUGCCAUCUUUUUUUCUCAACAG